GGGGUUGGGGAUUUAGCUCAGUGGUAGAGCGCUUGCCUAGCAAGCGCAAGGCCCUGGGUUCGGUCCUCAGCUCCGCGGAAGACAAAAUAACAAAAAGACCAAAAAAAAACAAGGUAACUGGCACACACAACCUUU
rnacentral:scRNA from 1 species